GAAUUUGGAUAGUUGUGAGAACCUUAGAAACCUUCCGAGUAGCAUUUGCGAUCUAACUUCACUCGUGUAUCUUAGUCUAUCUUUCUGUUCAAACCUUGAAAGCUUGCCUAAGAAUUUUGGAAAUCUAACUUCACUCGCGUUUCUUCAUCUAUCUGAAACCAAUAUUAUGCAAUUGCCAGAUUCCAUCGGACAUCUAGAUAAGUUGGUGAAGUUGGAUUUGGAAUGUUGUUUGAACCUUAGAAACCUUCCAAGUAGCAUUUGCUAUCUAACUUCACUUGUGUAUCUUAGUCUAUCUUUCUGUUCAAACCUUGAAAGCUUGCCUAAGAAUUUUGGAAAUCUAACUUCACUCACGUAUCUUCAUCUAUCUGAAACCAAUAUUAUGCAAUUGCCAGAUUCCAUCGGACAUCUAUGUAAGUUGGAGAAGUUGGAUUUGGAAUGUUGUUUGAACCUUAGAAACCUUCCAAGUAGCAUUUGCGAUCUAACUUCACUCGUGCAUCUUAGUCUAUCUUUCUGCUCAAACCUUGAAAGCUUGCCUAAGAAUUUGGGAAAUCUAGCUUCACUCACGUAUCUUAAUAUAUCUCUAACCAAUGUUAUGCAAUUACCAGAUUCCAUCGGACAUCUAGGUAAGUUGGAGAAGUUGGAUUUGGAUUUUUGUAAGAACCUUAGAAACAUUCCAAGUAGCAUUUGCGAUCUAACUUCACUCGUGCAUCUUAGUCUAUAUUUCUGCUCAAACCUUGAAAGCUUGCCUGAGAAUUUGGGAAAUCUAGCUUCACUCACGUAUCUUGAUCUAUCUGAAACCAAUAUUAUGCAAUUACCAGAUUCCAUCGGACAUCUAGG
rnacentral:lncRNA from 1 species